GCGGCGCGCUUAUGCAUGCAAGUCGAGCGAUGAGGCCCUCUUCGGGGGGUACAUCAGCGGCAGACGGGUGAGUAACACGUAGGUGAUCUACCCCAGAGACGGGGAUAACGGGUGGAAACAUCCGCUAAUACCGGAUAGACUUGUUCGGUCAAAGGGACAAGGAAAGGCUCCGGCGCUCUGGGAGGAGCCUGCGGNCCAUCAGCUAGUUGGCGGGGUAACGGCCCACCAAGGCAAAGACGGGUAGGGGGUGUGAGAGCAUGGCCCCCCACAAUGGGACUGGAACACGGCCCAUACUCCUACGGGAGGCAGCAGCAGGGAAUAUUGCACAAUGGACGGAAGUCUGAUGCAGCGACGCCGCGUGGAUGAAGAAGGCCCUCGGGUUGUAAAAUCCUUUACAGGGGGAAGAGGAAGGACGGUACCCCUGGAACAAGUGUCGGCUAUCUACGUGCCAGCAGCCGCGGUAAGACGUAGGACACAAGCGUUAUCCGGAUUUACUGGGCGUAAAGCGUCUGCAGGCGGACAGGUAAGUUGGGCGUGAAAGCUCCGGGCCCAACCCGGAGAGGUCGUUCAAUACUGCGUGUCUAGAGGGUGUCAGAGGGGAGUGGAAUUUCCGGAGUAGCGGUAAAAUGCGCAGAGAUCGGAAAGAACACCAAUGGCGAAGGCAGCUCCCUGGGGCAACCCUGACGCUAAGAGACGAAAGCUAGGGGAGCGAACAGGAUUAGAGACCCUGGUAGUCCUAGCCCUAAACGAUGGAUGCUGGAUGUGG
rnacentral:rRNA from 1 species